UGAACUUUGUGGGUGUUGGUGUGUUUUUGGGGUGUCUGAUGUUAGUCUAACCUGUGUGUAAGGUGAUUGAGAGACUGAUUGUAACCCCUUGUAGCCAAACCCAAGAGUUAAGUGUGGUUGAGUGAGUCGGUUUUGUGACACAUAUCAUUAAGGUACCAAACAUGGUUCUCCACUUCUACAAGUUGUCAAUGUGUCCAUCCUACCUAUUCCGAUGAAUUGUGUUCAUCUAAGCGCCCAUGAGCUGAACUGAAUUGGUGUUGUGCUGAACUGGGAACUACGAACCUACAGAGUUAUCACGGGAUGCCGCUGGAGGGGAGACAAUCUUCGACUAGAUGGGAAAGGAGAGGAGGCAUUAAGAAGAGAUAAGAAGAAUAAUGGGACAAAGAGAGGAACGAUAGUUCUCUUUCAGUGAUGCCACAGAGAGCAUUUCAUAUUUAAUCCACAAAGAUGGAACCUGAUCUGAAAUUUAAAAUAGCGUUUAAAGAAUUGUGAAAAUAUAUCCUAAUACAUUCACUGUAAGUGGUAUAUAGUAUAUUUAUAUAUUUAGUAACAAAUUAUUUAUGCACAAUGUUAGUUUAAUAGUAAGUGUAUUGUUUUUAACUUUGUGUAACAACGAAGCCACUUCAAUUAUUUUAUAAAUCCCCCCCCCCUUGGUUGUGCCAGAAGAAGAGCAAAUUUAUUUGCAUGAUGGGAACCCGCAACCUCUCAGAUAACUGCCUAGAUAAAUGACUUUAUUUAAAGGGAACAUGCCAGCCUAAGAAGUAAUUCCAAAUUAUUUUCUAUUGUGUUUGUUAAGAUAAAUAAACUUCACUUACACUAUAUAAAUUAUUUAAAACUUGUAUUUUUCAAUGUUGGAAUUACACAAUCACAGUAAGCAGGCAGGCACCAUUUUGUGGACACUGUUAUUAAGACAAGCUUUGUGACAUGCCAAAAUAGUUUUUAUGACUUGAUGCACAUGCUCAUGCACUGAGUGCAAGACAUCUAAGAAGUGCUGAAUCGAAAUAUAGAUUAAUUGUCUGCCCCACCUCUAUGGCUAGGGAAUAGAUGAGGGGCAGGUGAUAUAUGAUUGACAGCUGAGAUAUUUAAAUACCUUUACAAUGGGUAAAUAAGUGUUAAUAAAAAAAACUAUUUGGGUUUCACGAUUACUUUGAAAAGGACUUUUACUAUAUAGUUUGUCAUGUCUGGGUGACAGGUCUCCUUAAAUAAGCAAAUAACAACAAAUUCUUUAAUGAACCAACUUUUAAUAACCAGAUCUAAAAACAAGUUCAAGUACAGGUAUUUUUUAAUAAAGAUAUGGCAUAUAUUAUAUUAGUGAUGUAUUCAUUAUAGCCCUGUACUAUGUAAUUUAUUAUGGCAUAAAAUCUUAUUCUUGGUGAAGGGGAUUGUUAAAUAUUCAGCCAAUUACAGGUUACACAAUUACACUGAAUCAGCCAGCUUUUAUCUGUACAUGGAUGGAUGAACUUUUAUCCAUACAUGGAGGUCUUCAAAAGAAAAUCGAUUGUAAAACACUACUUAUGUUAUUGUGAUAGGUGCAUCAUUUUGAAUGUGCCCUCUGAAAGUCUAAACUUUACUUGCUUUCAAUUAGUGGCACAAUUCAAUUGCCAUUGUGUCGAUUCUGAUGCAUCUGGUGCAAUUGUAGCAGCUGCCUGUCCACAAUUGUACUGGAAUUAUGCGAAAAAUCAACAAUAUGGGUAAAAACAUGGUCAAUUACAUCUGAAAUUGUACUUUACACAUUGCACUUCAAAUCUGAUGACAGUCAACUGGGGUUUACUGAUUUAUUUACCUUUUGAUUUUUACUCAACGUGCCAUCCAGUAAAUAAUCUGCCUUUGUUUACUAGUGAAUGCUGUGAUCCGUAAUGUAACAAAACAACAAAGAUAUAAACAACUAUAUGGAACCUUCUGAAAUGUAAUAGGUUGAAUUCUCCCUUUGACUCUUUGAUAUAGGACUAGCGUCUGUUGCAUUUAUAGUUUCCUUUAAUGCGCAGCAGAGAUUUGUUACUGUAAUUGUUAUCUGCCUUACCGCUGCUAUACAUAUAAACUGAUUUACGGUGGCAUUCAGCAGAGUAGUAAUGUGCAGCUUUUAGUGUAAUACAAAUAAUGCUAUUCUUGGAAACAUGCUUUUGCUGGUGCAAAUUAUGAAUGUUUCUCCUUGUUGAGAAGUAUUGAGGCCCAUAAAAUAUUAUAGUCGUAGGUUGAACUUGUACCUUGUUGACAACACAUGGGAAAUUGCAGAACACUGAUUAAAAAUUGAUUCCAAUUGUAUUAGCAUGUAACAAAGCAGAUUGUGUAAAAACUAAAGCCACAGCUGUUGUUUUGUCUCAUGGUGCCGCAGUUAAACUUAACAUACUUACAGCACAGCAGUAUUACAUAGCAGGACUCAUUAACAAAGUUAGAACUGUCUAUUUAACAAAGCAUAAUGUUACCUGAUGCAAAAUCGGUGUAGUUCUAAACUUCUGUGGCCAUGUGUUUACUCCCUGAUUGAUUACAGAUGUGAAGACAUAUGCACCUUUGUUCAACCUGAGAAAAUAAAAAAAAUGGAAAAUAUUAUCAAGUUAAUUAAAGAGUACCUAAUAAUGUGUUCAGGAUCACUUAAUACUAUCUUUUUGAUACUUGGAGUAGGAGAAGAAGAUAUUUAAUGAUAGUAUUUGAAAGUGGGGGUAGGAGGAGAAGGUAUUUAAUGAGAGUGUUUGAGUGUGAGUUGAGUUCUAUAUUAACUGCAAAUGCUGAUUCAGCCUCUUCAGACUUAGUCAAAAGCAUAUCUGCCCAGGUAUGGGGACCACUGAUGAUACUGCCUCACUGAUAUCUGGCUGAAAAUUAGGCAGAUAUCAGUUGAGCUGGUUUAAAAAUACUGUUGCGUGAGGAAUGAAUAAGCAUGUGGAUGAAGUCCUCAUCCACUGGGCCUUAACCUGAGCAGCAUCAAGGCACAUGCUCAUCAUAUCUCUUACCAUUUCCCUGUUCACAGCAAGAAAGUACACAUGACAGUCCAGGAUGGAUGUGAAAGGCACUGUAGUCAAAUUACAAACUAUUGAAUAAACAAUUAUCUAGAUGAUCAAUACUCCCCAGAAAUGCUUUACUAGUCCACUGGAGUGAACUGAGCCUAGGUGGACAAGUGAAGACAUAAGUAGACCUCACGCUAAGCUCCUACCUACCGGGACCAUUACUCAAGGAGGUUGAACUAAACACCAUUAUUCUACAAAGUACUAGCCCCAUCCCAUUCUGGCAAGCAUUCCUCUGCCAACCUCCAAACUGUGACUAACCGAAAAAUCCACCAAGUGGAGUCAAUAUUUCCAAAUACAAACAAAUUCCUUUCCACCUCACCGAACCAUUUCAGGGCGGUGGGCUGCUAAUCUCCAUGCUGACAAUUUGCACUGACUUGUUUCCUGCUGCUCUAUCCUGUCAAUCCAAACUACUCCUUCUCCAUUCCUAUUUUACGAUGACCGCGGUCUUAAUUUUCAUGCCUCCCACCCUUCUCCUCCCUUCUUUAACAAUAUGGAUCUGGGUAGUGCCAAUGAAGACCAACUAUCUUAUCAAUUUGGUCAGCAUGUGACCAAAUUGAAUCUUGAUUUACUUGUUUGCCACCCGCACCAAACAAAUGGGUCUAGUCAUGUAUGGCUACUUUUACUCUCUGGUUGCCCGGCUCAGGAGAAUUGCUAAACAAUCUGUGAUAGUAGCUUGAUACUUAAAACAUGAAGUAUGUUUAAAUUAAAUCAAUAAUGCUUUAAAAUAUUUGCAGAUUCUGGGCAGACAUGUAUAAUCAUUAAAUGUAUACAGUAAUUUAAAAAUACUAGUCUAACUGGCUCUUUAAGAUUUAAUACCCUUACCAGACUGCACAGUGCUAAGCAUGACCUAUAGCUUGGUAGGAGUCUAUAAGCCCAAGGCAUAAAUAUUUAGGAUUUUUCAUGCCACUUGAAAAUAGCUCAAAAGCUAAGUAGGUCAUACAUUACCGAUGCAGAAUAUCUUGCACAUUCUGCAGUCACAGAAAAAUAGAUAUUAGUCACGGCAAAAUAAGUUUCACAAAUUUGUUUAAAACUUUUGUAAUAAAAGAAGACAUUUUUACAGCAGUCUCCGAAGCAGCUUUAGUUUGAGAAUAUGAACACUGCAGAGGUUUAAGAUUUGUGUUUAAUAACUGAGUUUUAUCUUGCUUUUAUUAGCUGCAUAAUAUUUUAAGCUAAGGGUUUAAAGGAAGCAGGAAAAAGAAUUAUCCAUUUCUCAUCUUUUAUUUUACAUUUAGCCAAUAUGACCUAAUUUUCAUCCAAGCUAUUCUAUAUAAGACAUGCAAGGAAAAAUGUAACACAUUUCAACAUAUUGAAAUAUCUUGGUUAGGAUAUUGAUACUCUUAGUAUUUAAGUGUUUAAUAUGGAUUUACACUUUUCAAACUAAUAAUGAGUAAUAGCCAUGCUUUCUAUUGUAUGGGAGUAAUCUCACCAAAUUCCAUCCCAUAAAUACUUUAUACCCUCUGUACAUGAUUUCCACUGUUUGGGACAUUGCGAUAAUAUAUUUAGGCUUCUGCACCUGCAUAUUAUUUUAUAGUACAAACAAACAAAUCUUUCUCAUUGAGUUUCAUCAAAUUACAAAUCCAAAAUAGAAGACGGGUGUCAUUUUACAGUAAGCAGGAGGUUCCAGUUAUUCCUAAAACAGAUACCAUACCAUACCACGAUGUGUAUACAUCUCUUUUGGAUGACUUUUAGGGAUACACACCUGUGCCUGCAUCUUUGAGCCCAUUCACACCCCCAUGCAUGUACUUUGGAACAUCUCAAAUUUUGGCAGCAUGUUAUUAUUUGGAAGUAGGUGUAUGGGGGCUCAAAUGUGGGCUUGUACCCAUUGUGUCACACCAACACACUAAAGCAUGGACAGUUAUGUCCUGACCAUCUCACUGUACUGUGUUAAUCUUGGCAUUUUUCCGCAAUUCCCAUUUGACCUUUAUUAGACUUUUCUCCAACUUUCAUGUUUUUAAUAUUGCCUUACCCUUAAUCUUAGUUAUAAUUAUAAUGUAUACAUUAUAUUUUCUUAUAUUCCAGAUUUUGAAUGCAUACUCAAACGCUUCUUCUCCUUAGUGAUGUAGGUUAUGUAAUAAAAGUGUGUUACAUAUGAGGGAAUUAUGUAGACAUAAAGUCUAAAAUAACAUCCUAAGAAUACUUACUGCUGAGUUGUAACCACCCACCAAUGGACUCUGAAAUAAUGGAAGCACAUCUUCAGGAGUAACAAAUGGCAUUUCACUUUCUGGCAGUCUGAUGGAAAAGGCUGGGUUUGACACAUACCAGGUGUACACUACCUGCCUGAAUGCAUAAUGCAGAUUGGUUUAGAGAUAGAAGAAUAAUAGUCUGGCACUGUUUGCCAUGUUUUUGGGCCAGCGCCCAAUUCCAUUUAAAACAGCUUGAAACCAACAAUGUUCAGAAUCUAUUGUAAAGCCCCCAGUAGAUGCUGUUAUAAGGGAGGACCUGCCUUAUAUAAAAAUACUUGGUUUGGGAAUAAAAUGGACAGGCAGGUGUUCAGAUGGAAAGGCAUUGCUCUUCUGUAAGCAACAUUAAAGAAUGCAAUUAUUUGUUAUCCACUCAUUUAUGAAGACUAGCCUUACUUUGCUGGAUUUUAUUCACAAAUUAUCUCAGUUUUUCCACCUCCUAAAACUUAGUACCGCUCAUGAAUUUAUUUAUAUAAAAAAGAGGCAGAUGCUAGAUAAAACAGAUAAACUGUUGUCUUUGCCCCAUGCAUACUUUGUUUUGUCAUUCUAAUCUGUUUUUAUAAGAAAACCAUCUUUUCACUUUCUAGUCUGUAGGGGAAAUAUGCUGGUAAAGCAUCCCCUUCCAGGUGUCAUAAAAGAACUGGACUGGAAGAAUGCACCUGUCCCUUUGGCUUGCCUCCCAUCUUGUGUUUGGCUUUCUGCUGACUCUGAAAUGUUCAGUACUGACAUUGUUUACUGAGGUUAAAGCCCAAUCUCAGAAAUGUUUUCCUUUGUUUUCAAAUUUAGCAUUAAAAAUUACUCAAGCACUAAAACUUUGAUGGUAUUAACAUGCUUAUGGCUACAUGCUUAACUGCUUUCUCUUGUCAGUGAAUGGACUUUGUAAUGUGGUUGGCUGAAGAGUUUUCUGCUUGUUCCUCUCCUGACCCAGGGUUUAUCUACGUUCCAAAGUAUUUUAAUGUAAGAUGAAGUCUGAUUAGUAUUAAAAAUUUAAGCAUGUUUUGAUUCAUUGAAACAUCUGUUUGGAUAUUGAAAGCUAAACAAAAAAAAUGAAGAAAAUUACAGUAAAUAAAAGAUAAAGCCUGUUUGACUUGGUAUUUUUGAAUAAACCAUUUUAGACUGUAUUUACUGUCUUUAGGUUUAACAUCCCAUUAUACUAUGCAAUUAUGAUGGACAGUCCUUGUUUUUUAUUGUUUUGGAUUCUGUGGCUUAAGUAUCUGAAACAAAAGGUUUGGAUACAGUAUUACAUUAAGUUAGUGGUCUGCUGCACGUUCUUCAGGAGAGGAGCUGUGUGCCAGUCAGCAGGGACCCCAAAAGAAGAAGAAAGCAAGCCUAGUGAACUAGAGCAGACAGAUGUAUGCAAGGUUAGCUAGUCAAUCCUACCUAAGGCAAUGUAAUCCUUUUGAGCUUAACUGUAAUAUCAUUUAAAGCUGGAAAGAAAUGCAAAUAAGAAAAUAUACUUGUAUGCAAAAACAUUAUACAAGGAACUAAAGGGAGAUGGGUUGACUAGUAGAGAAUUUUAAGUGAAUGUAAAAUUGGCACAGAUGGAGAGAAAUUAAAUACUUUAGUAAAAUGUAAGAGAUGUUUCCUCCAAUGACCUUCUGGGGUUAAAGGACAAUUAUGAGAAACCAAACUGCCUAUGGCAAAUAAGUUCAUUAGACGGGCAUGAAUCCAUUGUACUCUGACUGCAGACAGAUGGUAUAAGUGAUAUAGAUAAUAAUAAUGAUUCAUAUGAGAGCAGGUUUUGGUGCUUUAGAAGACAUUUUCUUGUCCAAAAUGGAAUUUAAAAUAUAAACAAAAGAUACAGAACCAAAGAAUACAUUUGCCUGUAUUUCUUCCAGUCAAUCAGUCCGACUCAUUGAUAUUCUAUAUCUAGUAACAGUAUUCUAUCACUAUAUGAAAUCUCUAUAUGAAAGCUAAACUAAGGCAGAAGAGCCAAAAACAGGUCAGAGAAUAAACCUUUAUAUAAGAGGUGAUGGAAAUCCCAAUGCAACCCUUUCAGUGCCUGUUGAGGUUUGCUCUUCAUUUGCAGUUAGUCCAAGAUAAUUUUUGACCAUUUGCUUUUUUCUCUUUAGGGCUAUCUCCAUAGGGCUGGGGAUGUGGACUGACUUUUAGUUUACCUAGUAAAAUUACAUAGGGGUCAUUUACAACCCACAAAUGCAGUUGUGGUCUUGCAACUUUUGCAUUUAUUAAAGUACUUGCAUCUUAAGUCACUCCAGAUAGCGGUGCUGCUUGUUUCGCCUCCUCCUGCAAAUUCUAUGUCUUGUGCUUCUCUACACAGGUGAACUCUGGAGCUCCAUAAACUGUUCAUAAACUAUUGAGGUUUGAGAAGUGGUUGAAGUUAGCAAAUAAUUAUUAUUCAGAUCUGAAGUUACUGUCAAAAAUGCUUGCAAUUGUAAAUAAACCCUACAUGAUUCUAAUGCACAUGAAGGAAUGCAAGGACAUUCUAUACAUAACAUUUUAAAUAUUUGAUUAUAAAAUAUGUAUAUAUGCAGCACUGGAUAUUCAAUUGUUCAUUAUUCAUUCACUCCCUGUGAUAACAUCUAAACACAUUUUAUGGACGCAGCCAAGCGGAAGAAAUUUAGCUCGGUAUGAAUUGCUUCAAUGAACAAUAGGAGUUAUUUGGAAGGAAAACUGUUCAUUACAAAAACAGUUUAUUACUUCCUAUAAUGGAAUGCAUGAGCCUUUCUAACUAACAAUGCAAGUACAGUAAAGGAUUACAGAAUGGUUUAUAAAGUAAAUAACAUAAACUAUAGGAAAAUCUGUUCUGAGCACAUUUUGUGCUGCUUCUGGAACAGCAACAAAAUAAACUCUCCUAGGAGUGGGUAGGUGUUUUAAGAGCUGAGAACAACUGUCACUCUGUUCACUUUGUCUUUUCUUCCCCCUAAGUGAAUAAUAUAAUUGCAGUUUAUAUACAAAAAUUAAUUAGCAGCUCUGAGUUAGAGAGUAGCUAUUUUUUCUCAUACCGUGACCGAAGAAUGCAUUACACGUAAAUACACAGUGAGAAAAUUCCUUUUGAGAUGACAUCUCAUUAUUCAUCUUUUAAUCUAGGGAUAGUCAUACAAUGUUAAAAGAUGUUAUUCAUGGACAGGAAUUUAUUUAAAAAAAAAUAUAAGUGGACUUCCUGCUUAUUCAUUACAAAAACUCAAAAUAGUAAAUUAUAAUAAUUAUAAUCAUUAUUGAGACAAACUGAAGAAUGUGUGUAGGGAAAGAAUAGGGGGAACAAGAAAGAUAUCAAUUUGGUUUGGCAUUAAAAUACUGCUGAAUAGAGAAAUGUCAACUUUAAUGGAAUCAUAUUGGGUAAAAGUGAAAGACAAAAAGCCUUAUAUUGAUGACUGCUACACCAAGGGGGUUAUUUAUCAAAGUCUGAAUUUAUCUCAAUAUUUUCUGCUACAAACUCCAAUCAAAUCCGCUCUGGUGUUUUACGCUUAUUUAUUAUUACAUUUUCCUGAAAAGUUGCUUUGCGGAAAAUGUCUUUUCACGAAUUUGGAUUUUUUUCAUCAGAUUUUCACGAAUUUCACGAUUUUUUCGGAAUUUCAGCCAAAAACUGAAAAAGUUCGUGAUUUUUUAAAACUCCAAUUUUUUUUGAUUUUUACAUUUGGAGUUUAGUAAAUGACCCCCCCAAGUGUCUUGCCUCUUCUGAUGAAUUGUGCACUAGUGCACCUACUGAACACUGGGGAACCCUGCAAGUUGCAAUUGUGGGUUACUUACAAAACACAUGCACGUGCAAUAGCAUGCCUAUUAAAAAAUCAUGCAAAACAACAGUGGACUCUCUUGAAUUCUAAAAAAAAUAAAAGGUGCAUUGUUCUAGGUCCAGACUGGGAUUCCAAAUACUGUAGGCCCUGACAUUUCAGGUACACAGAGGAUCAAAUAGUCCCCCACCAGCCCAUUAAAUAAUGACUUCUAAGGUAGUGCUAUCCAACUUCUGCAAUACCGAGGGCUGGAAUUUUGUUGGCCUUCAUGGUGGAGGGCCAAUAAUGGAAGCUGGUGUUGAUGACUCCAUGGUUUGAAAUCCCACCACUUUAACCCACAUCCAUGUUAUCUCAAGAACUUUUCAGUUGGUAUCACACCAAAAACCAAAUGGUCAUUGUUCACUGCAUGGAUAUCACCCAUGACUCAUAUGUGAAAAAAGUUUGUAAUUUUAUAGGGUGGGUCACCAUUAAGAUUACAACAUGCUGUAUGUUAUAGAAUGGCCAAUU